rnacentral:rRNA from 1 species
GAUGAACGCUGGCGGCGUGCCUAAUACAUGCAAGUCGAGCGAACAGACGAGGAGCUUGCUCCUCUGACGUUAGCGGCGGACGGGUGAGUAACACGUGGAUAACCUACCUAUAAGACUGGGAUAACUUCGGGAAACCGGAGCUAAUACCGGAUAAUAUAUUGAACCGCAUGGUUCAAUAGUGAAAGACGGUUUUGCUGUCACUUAUAGAUGGAUCCGCGCCGCAUUAGCUAGUUGGUAAGGUAACGGCUUACCAAGGCGACGAUGCGUAGCCGACCUGAGAGGGUGAUCGGCCACACUGGAACUGAGACACGGUCCAGACUCCUACGGGAGGCAGCAGUAGGGAAUCUUCCGCAAUGGGCGAAAGCCUGACGGAGCAACGCCGCGUGAGUGAUGAAGGUCUUCGGAUCGUAAAACUCUGUUAUUAGGGAAGAACAAAUGUUUAAGUAACUAUGCACGUCUUGACGGUACCUAAUCAGAAAGCCACGGCUAACUACGUG